UGGAAAGGGAUUGGGGGAGUCAGGGUGAGCCCAAAGUCAAAGCAGAAGAAGGUACCAGUGGGCAGCACAUCGCCCCUGGGGACUGAAACCAUCUUGAAAUGACACCUUGGAGUUGUCUAAAAAAUUGACAUCUAGGAAAAGUCCCCGGACCCAAAGGACCCUGAACCCAAGCAAACACUGACUCCGGCAUCAGAAGAGGUCCCUCCUUCUCUAAUACUCCCAUUCCUUCUCUCAGGUCCUCCACUGAGGCUGAGAACACCAUGCCCAUCACUAAGACUCCUAAGACCACCCCACCCUUGUGGGUUGAGUGGGAUCGGAAGGCCCAGAAGAGCGGCCUGAGACACGAGGUUUAUGCCGUCAAUGGUGACUGUUACGUUGGGGAAUGGAAGGACAACAAGAAACACGGAAGAGGAAUCCAGAGGUGGAAAAAAAGUGGCGCUAUCUACCACGGAGAAUGGAAGUUUGGGAAGAGAGAUGGUUAUGGGACCCUCAGCCUUCCUGACCCUGUGAAUAAGUAUAAGAAGGUCUACUCUGGCUGGUGGGCAAACGACAAAAAAGCUGGCUAUGGCAUCCGGUACUACGGGCCCAAGGAAUACUACGAAGGAAAGUGGAAGGACGGCCUUCGAAGCGGAUGGGGCCGCAUGUACUAUGCCAAUGGAGACAUCUACGAGGGCCAGUGGAGUGAGGGCCAGAGAGAUGGGGAGGGCAUGCUCCGUCUAAGCAAUGGAAACCGCUAUGAAGGUUGUUGGCAAUAUGGGAUGAAGAAUGGGACUGGCCGCUUCUUCUACUUGGACCAUGGGCAGCUCUUUGAGGGCUUAUGGGUAGAUGACGUGCCCAAAUGUGGAAUCAUGAUCGACUUUGGUCGGGACGAAGCCCCUAAGCCCACCAAAUAUCCCAUCCCAGAGAUUGAACUGCUGGAUCCCGAUAAGGUGCUGGAGGAAGCUGUAGCCAUGUUCCUCCAGAAGGAAGACUGAAACCAUCAGCAGAAGUAAUGAGAGGCUGGAUCAGUGGAAGCAACUGGGGGGCUGGUCAGGAGCCCCCCCUUCCCCAAGGCCAAGUCAUCAGGGCCCUUGGGGGGGAGGCCGCUCAGGCUCUCCAGUCUCAGAGGAAAAAGCAUAGGAAAUGAGAUAACCUGGGCCUCCUCUAUGCGCUGCUUAACAACUCACUGGGUGACUCUGGUAAAUCACCUCAUCCGAGACUUGCCUGUCCCACGCAUGGCUUUUGGGAACAUCUGCCCAGCUCUACCAUUCCCCACUGAUACCUUUCUUCUUCCAGGGCUAAGGCUGAAAGAGACUUAGAACAUAGAAGGUUGGGGCCAAGAGAGGGCCUAGAAAACAGAUCAGGGCUGAGAGGGGGCCCAGAACACAGACAGUUGGGGAGGGGGCUCAGAACAUAGAUCAGGGCUGGGAAGGGGCCUAGAACACAGAUCAGGGCUGGGAGGAGGCUUAGAACACAGAUCAGGGCUGAGAGAGGGCCUAGAACACAGAUCAGGGCUGAGAGGGGGCCCAGAACACAGAUCAUGGCUGGGAGGAGGCUCAGAAAAUAGAUCAGGGUUGGGGAGGGACCUAGAAUACAGAUCAGGGCUGGGAGGAGGCUUAGAAAAUAGAUCAGGGUUGGGGAGGGGGCUCAGAACAUAGGUUAGGGCUGAGAGGGGGCCUAGAACACAGAUCAGGGCUGGGAGGAGGCUUAGAACACAGGUUAGGGCUGGAAAGGGGCUUAGAACACAAAUCAGAGCUGGGAGGGGGCCCAUAACAGAUCAGGGCUGGGAGGGGGCCUAGAGCAUAGAUCGUGGCUGGGAGGAGACUUAGAAAACAGAUCAGGGUUGGGGAGGGGGCUCAGAACAUAGGUUAGGGCUGGGAAGGGGCUUAGAACACAAAUCAGAGCUGGGAGGCAGCUUAGAACAAUAACUUUCAGACAGGAAGGCUUUAGGACAGAGAAUGUCAGAGCUUGGAGAAAUCUUGGAGAACAUCCAGUCUUAGCUCUUCUUUUACAGAUGAGGAAACUGGCUCAGAGAGGGCACCUACUUUGCCAAGGUCACAGAGUGUAAGCAGCAGAGGGCAGGACGGGAGCUCCAGGCUCCUGGCUCCCCAAUCUGGGGGCUCUGGUCACUGACCAUCAAGAUGUCUACUCCCUGUACCCCUUUUCAUCCAAAAGUGUUUUGUGGGAUUUUUCUUUAAUCCGAGUAAAAAUAUGGUCAUCAGAAUUUCCCAACACAUCCUGGGCUUGGAAAUUCAGUUGUCAGAGAAUGCUAGGCUUGUUCAGGCCGGAAGGUCAGUUCAGAGUUUUGAAGUAAACGUUUAAUCCUCACAAUCUCACAAAUACUCCCCAGCCUGGCCCCAGGCUGGAAUGAGUGCCCCCUGCCCUUCAAGCUGCCUCUGAUUUGCCCUGGCCGGCAGAUCUAUCCCCACCGACCCCUUCUUCUGGGAUCCUGCCAUCAAUGAUGGUACCUGGCUGGGGGCCUGGGCUCCUACAAGGCAGGGCCAAUGCUCUCCCCUGCCCCAGCACCAGUCAAAGAAUGACCAGUCCCCUCAGGCCGACCAGAACCCAAAAUACCUGUGAGAAUCUCCAAGCUUUAGGCCAGCACUGAAGCCAGCUCUACUCCUUCCCCCCAAGUCUUCUCUCCUCCGGGCUAAACACUCCCAGUUCCUUCAAAUGAUUCCUGUACAAGGACUCCAGGCCCCUCAAAACACAGGUCACUUCCUGUGGGCUUGCUCUGGGAAUGGGUAAGCCCGCAUCCUUCCUAAAAGCCAAAACUAGAAACAGUCCUCUAGCUAUGGGCUAAGCAGGGGGACUCUCAUUCCCACAUUCUGGACCCUAUGCCCCUUACUAACUUAGCCUAAGCCCUCAUGAGCUUUUUUGGUCUGCCAUGUUAUCUGAAUAAAUCAGACAGCUGCUGGAAGUCCACUGAGAUUCCAAGAUCGUUUUCACAUGAGCCAUCCGUCAUCCAGAAUCGUGCCCAGCUCUAGGAUCGGCCAGAUACCAUCAACCCCAGCUCAGAAUCAAAUAAGAUGUUUGUAGUGCCCUCAGCACAGUGCCUGGCACGUUGUGGGCACUGGAUAAAUGUUUGUUCCUUCCUGCCUUCCUGCUUGAAAUAAUAUUGGAAGAGGUUCGUCCUCCUCCAUGACGAAAGGAUAGAGCAGGCUGGCAUAUGAUCACAUGAAGGGAGGAUAAUUGCCUUUCUCUAGGGAGUCACUCAGUUCCACCAUGAUACACACACUGCUUUGACUUUGUAGACUGGGGUUUAUUUCAAAAUAAAGACUCUUUGUAAAAUA